UGGGGAAUUUUGCACAAUGGGGGAAACCCUGAUGCAGCGACGCCGCGUGAUUUAGAAGGCCUUCGGGUUGUAAAAAUCUUUUCUAUGGGAAGAAAAUGACAGUACCAUAGGAAUAAGGACCGGCUAAUUACGUGCCAGCAGCCGCGGUAAUACGUAAGGUCCGAGCGUUGUCCGGAAUCAUUGGGCGUAAAGGGUACGUAGGCGGGUAAGCAAGUUAGAAGUGAAAUCCUAUAGCUCAACUAUAGUAAGCUUUUAAAACUGCUCAUCUAGAGGUAUGGAAGGGAAAGUGGAAUUCCUAGUGUAGCGGUGAAAUGCGCAGAUAUUAGGAGGAAUACCGGUGGCGAAGGCGGCUUUCUGGCCAUAACCUGACGCUGAGGUACGAAAGCGUGGGUAGCAAACAGG
rnacentral:rRNA from 1 species